UACGUAGGGUGCAAGCGUUGUCCGGAAUUAUUGGGCGUAAAGAGCUCGUAGGCGGUCUGUCGCGUCUGCUGUGAAAUCCCGAGGCUCAACCUCGGGCUUGCAGUGGGUACGGGCAGGCUAGAGUGCGGUAGGGGAGAAUGGAACUCCUGGUGUAGCGGUGGAAUGCGCAGAUAUCAGGAAGAACACCGAUGGCGAAGGCAGUUCUCUGGGCCGUAACUGACGCUGAGGAGCGAAAGCGUGGGGAGCGAACGGG
rnacentral:rRNA from 1 species